rnacentral:rRNA from 1 species
AUAGUGAACCAGUACCGUGAGGGAAAGGCGAAAAGAACCCCGGCGAGGGGAGUGAAAAAGAACCUGAAACCGUGUACGUACAAGCAGUGGGAGCCCCACCACUAAGCCAGUGGUGAACUCCACAUCCGCAUCCUUUGCUGAGGAUACGGUUAACGGAGCGAAAGCGACGUUCAACCGCAAAACAAGCAGAGGGGGCUUAGUGGUGGGGUGACUGCGUACCUUUUGUAUAAUGGGUCAGCGACUUAUAUUCUGUAGCAAGGUUAACCGAAUAGGGGAGCCGGAGGGAAACCGAGUCUUAAUUGGGCGUUAAGUUGCAGGGUAUAGACCCGAAACCCGGUGAUCUAGCCAUGGGC